rnacentral:lncRNA from 1 species
UAAAAUUAGAAGAAUUUAGAAGCACUGAAUAACACUAUAAACUGUUUUCACCCAACUGGCAUUUCUAUGACACUACAUCCAACAGCUGCAAAAUAUAUAUCCUCUUAAAGUGCAUAUGGAUUUUUCACCAAGAUAAUCCAUAUGCUGGACUUUAAAACAAAUAUGGAUAAGCUUAAAAGAAUUAAAUCAGACAGUUUAUUCUCUCAUCUAUGGAAUUACAAUAGAAAUAAAUAACAGACAAUCUCUGUACUAACCACAAAUAUUUUGAAAUGUAAAAACACUUCUCUAUUCAUUACCGAUGGAUCAAAGAAGAAAACACAAGGAAAAUUAGAAAAUAUUUUGAACUGAAUGAAAAUAAAACACUACAUAUGAAAAUACUUAGAGGGAAAUUUAUAGUUCUAAAUAUUCGUAUUAGAAACGAGGAAAGUUCUAUACCAGUGGGCUAAGAAGUGAAAAAAAAAGAACGAGUUAACUGCUAAGUAAGUAGAAAAAAGGACAUAAUAGUUUCAGAUACCAAAAUUAAAAAGAAACGUUUCUGCGUAAGAUAUAGAAAGCCUUAAGUGAACACUGCUCCCACUCGAACAAUGAGAAAAACCUGGAAAAUCAGCAAGAUAAGUAAAAAUAAAAUAAAAUACUCAAAUAAUAGAUUUUCUUGAGCCCAUCGGGGACCAGAGUUUUCAUGUAAUUUCAUGUAAUUUCAUUCAAGUAAUCUGAAUCUCAAAGAGUGACAAGACCUUUCAAGGAGAAAGAGGACAGCCAGAAUCUUGCCCUUUUGGCAAAGAAUGGAAGAGAGUAAUGGCCAACACCCAAUUUGAAGAUCCAGUGCUACAGAGAACCAACAGGUCAUAUGAAAACGGAUGCAGAGACAAACUCAUUGAAAAUGACCAAUAAAAAGCAAAGACGUGGUGGAGCACGGCAAGAGGAGGAUUACUGAAUCUUACUGGUCAGGAGCGAGCGUGGAAGGCUGGGCCUUAGAGGAAACAAC